rnacentral:rRNA from 1 species
AGUGAACGCUGGCGGUAGGCCUAACACAUACAAGUCGAACGGCAGCACAGCAAGAGCUUGCUCUUACGGGUGGCGAGUGGCGGACGGGUGAGGAAUACAUCGGAAUCUACUUUUUCGUGGGGGAUAACGUAGGGAAACUUACGCUAAUACCGCAUACGACCUACGGGUGAAAGCAGGGGAUCUUCGGACCUUGCGCGAUUGAAUGAGCCGAUGUCGGAUUAGCUAGUUGGCGGGGUAAAGGCCCACCAAGGCGACGAUCCGUAGCUGGUCUGAGAGGAUGAUCAGCCACACUGGAACUGAGACACGGUCCAGACUCCUACGGGAGGCAGCAGUGGGGAAUAUUGGACAAUGGGCGCAAGCCUGAUCCAGCCAUACCGCGUGGGUGAAGAAGGCCUUCGGGUUGUAAAGCCCUUUUGUUGGGAAAGAAAAGCAGCAGGUUAAUACCCCGCUGUUCUGACGGUACCCAAAGAAUAAGCACUGGCUAACUUCGUG